rnacentral:misc_RNA from 1 species
AUAAUGUCUAGUUGCCUCAUCUUUUGGAUUUUUUAGAUUUGAGUCUUUUGAUAGAGCUAUCAAGCCAAGGAGAGGGGCUGGAUAACAACCCAUUGGCUCUAAGUUGGAGGUAUUAUAGUGGUUGGACUCUUUGGGGAAAGGAUAAUUUCUCUUGCAUUAAUAGUUUAUCUUGAUAGUCGUUUGGAUUACAAGAAAGCUAUAUAGUUAGGCAUUGUUUGGUUGAGAUUAAGUAGACUAAGUAGAAUUUUAUGGGAAGUGUUAAAGUUUUGUUUGGUUUAUAUAAUUGUAUUAUCUAAAAGUAGUUAUUCUAUUUCCACAGGUGUUGAUAAAUUGCAUUUUCUUAG